UCCGGUUUAACACCGGCAGUCCCCUCAGAGUGCCCAACUUAAUGGUGGCAACUAAGGGCAAGGGUUGCGCUCGUUGCGGGACUUAACCCAACAUCUUACGACACGAGCUGACGACAGCCAUGCAGCACCUGUCUCACUGUCCCCGAAGGGAAAGAUACAUCUCUGCAUCGGUCAGUGGAUGUCAAACCCAGGUAAGGUUCUGCGCGUUGCUUCGAAUUAAACCACAUACUCCACCGCUUGUGCGGGCCCCCGUCAAUUCCUUUGAGUUUUAGUCUUGCGACCGUACUCCCCAGGCGGGUUACUUAAUGCGUGAGCUACGGUACCCAGAAGGUUAACAUUCCGGACACCUAGUAACCAUAGUUUACGGCGUGGACUAC
rnacentral:misc_RNA from 1 species